UUUCUAUACUUCUAGAGUUCCUCAAGAGCUUUAUCUUUAAGCACAAGUAGUCUUGUAUUUUAUCCUGAAGAACCGUCAUCGGAUGCACAUAAAACUUAAUCCAUCUGACAAAAAAUUCAUCAAAAAAUACAAUCAGUUGCUAACCAUUUCUUGCAAUCCAUUCUUGUCUUGAGUUUGACAAGACCCCUAAUCUCCAUAUCAAAACAUAUAAUCAUUAGCCAUGAUUCAAGGUGAAAAGACAUUUCUCAUAUUCAAAUUCGGAUGAAAGGGAGCGACUCGCUAUAGUCACACAGAGAGAGAGAGAGAGAGAGAGAGAGGUGGAGGUGUAUGCAAGGUGAAUAUUCAAACUAAGAAGAGUAGGACCCAUAUAUUAAACCACAAGCGAGAAUACACACAGAGAACAUACAUAUAUGCAAUUUCGAAUUAAACACUCACACAUACAGAUUUCAUAUGGUGUGGCACAUGUUACCUCUCCUUACUUCUCUUCAUAAAGCUCAUUUGCAGCGCUGUAUGAAUAUCUUAUUGUGCUCAGGUUCGUGGAUUCUCCAUCUCUUCCCUCCAUCCCUUUUUGUGAGCUUCUCAUUGAACUUUCAUUGUUUCUCUCUAAACCUCCAUUACUCCAAGUUUUUAGGACUCUGCUCAAUCUCUCUCUCUUCCCUCUAAACCUUCAUAAAUUCGAGGCUGCAGGACACUUCUCAAUCUCACUCUUCUGAGAGCCACAAACCAAACCAGGAACAAUUCCACCCAAGCUUGCUUUCUGCCUGAAAUAGGAAAC
rnacentral:lncRNA from 1 species